GGGUGGGGUCCCCAGGAUGGGAUUAGUGCCUUUCUAAGAGACAGAAGAAAGCUUGCUCUCUCUCUUUCUCCUCUCCACAUGAGGGCAUAGCAAGAAGGCAGCCAUCUACAAGCUAGGAUGAGAGCCCUCACCAGAACCCAACCAUGCUGGCACCCUGAUCUUGGAAUUCCAGCCAUCCAAAUGAGUCAAGGCCACGGAUGGAGCAGGAGCUGUCACCGGUCAGUUUUCCAACCACGGGGAUGGAGCGUCCUGUAGUCCCAGAUUCCAGGGAAGCAUCCUUCAUUAAGGCUUUGAGCCACAGGGUCAAACUGAACUCCUUCCUGCUGUUCCUGUAAUGCGGCACUCAGACUGGAUCCCUGUUUUUGAAGAAGUAAAUGUCUAGAAACAGGGACAAACUGGUAUUUAAAAAUUACUAGUGGCCUUCUUUUUCCUUCUAUCAGUUUCCCCACAGUUGGAACAAAGCUUACCUUUUGAGAAAACUGUUUAGAAGUCCAG
rnacentral:lncRNA from 1 species